CCUACGGGUGGCAGCAGUAGGGAAUAUUGGUCAAUGGAUGCAAGUCUGAACCAGCCAUGCCGCGUGCAGGAAGAAGGCCUUCUGGGUUGUAAACUGCUUUUGUCAGGGGAUAAAAUGAGCAUGCGUGCUUAAUUGAAGGUACCUGGCGAAUAAGCCACGGCUAACUACGUGCCAGCAGCCGCGGUAAUACGUAGGUGGCAAGCGUUGUCCGGAUUUAUUGGGUUUAAAGGGUGCGUAGGCGGCCAAAUAAGUCAGUGCUGAAAUACUCUAGCUUA
rnacentral:rRNA from 1 species